rnacentral:rRNA from 1 species
UACAUGGGGUGCAAACGUUGCUCGGAAUUAUUGGGCGUAAAGCGCACGUAGGCGGUCCGUUAAGUCGGAUGUGAAAGCCCCCGGCUCAACCGGGGAAGUGCAUCCGAAACUGGCGGGCUAGAGUACGAAAGAGGGUCGCGGAAUUCCCGGUGUAGAGGUGAAAUGCGCAGAUAUCAGGAGGAACACCAAUGGCGAAGGCAGCUCGCUGGGACGUGACUGACGCUGAGACGCGAAAGCGUGGGGAGCAAACAGG